CCUUGGCGGUGGCAGCCCCGGGCCUCCGCGCCGCAGCACCGCGGGCGCUACUGUGGGAUUUUGCUGCCGUCCUCGGCCUCUCCAUGGGCGGGCGGGAGCGGGGAGCGGGCCCUGUGUGCCCCGAGCGUCGCCCACCACGCCCGGGCCGAGGUGUGAUGGCACGGGCACCAUGGCCGUGCUCGCAUGGGGUUUCCCUUUGUCAUCACACCAGGUAGUGUAUAUCGUGGUAAUCCAGAAGCUGCUCUAGAGGCCCCAGGCUUCCCAGCCAAGCCUGGGGUCACUGGCAUGUAAAAGGAUCCUGGCUCCAAAGGUUCAGGGAAGUGGGCAGGACGUACAGAUUCCACAUGUCUGAGGUAAUCGAUGUAAUGGGGAUUUGCUCUCUUCAGAAGUUUCAGGGACUGGUUCAGCACCUCCUAUGAGCACUGCAAGCUCUUGUGACCCUCAGUUCCAGGAGUGUCUUCAUCACUGGUUUUAGGUUGAGUGUGCGCUGUGACUGUGCAUGAGCAAAUACACGUCACUCCUUCACAAGUUUGGCUGGACUAUAUCUGAUAAGCUUAAAAGUAAGCUUAUAUCAAAAUAAAAGUGUUGGGAAUUUAGCUGCUAGAAAAUGGAAAAGUACAAAACUAUGGCUAAUUCUAAGUCCUACACCUGCACAGAUAACAGUGUCCUUGGGCCUAGCUGUGGUAUAAUAACAAACAGUGAAAGAGACAUGAGAAAAGAGAGUGUAAUCCCUAAAGUAUGAAGAUGAGUUAAUGCUAUAGUUUAACCAAUAGAUUGUUUAGCUUACAGAAUAUUCAUAAGCUUAUUAUUUGCUGUAUAAGUGUUUGAUACUUUCUUCAAUAAACUAGACCAGAAAGACCUGAGGGACCGGGACCGGGACCAGACCGGACCUGAAGGGCCUGUGAUGAA